UACGAAGGGUGCUAGCGUUGCUCGGAAUCACUGGGCGUAAAGCGCACGUAGGCGGAUUGCUAAGUCAGGGGUGAAAUCCUGGAGCUCAACUCCAGAACUGCCUUUGAUACUGGCGACCUUGAGUCCGGGAGAGGUGAGUGGAACUGCGAGUGUAGAGGUGAAAUUCGUAGAUAUUCGCAAGAACACCAGUGGCGAAGGCGGCUCACUGGCCCGGUACUGACGCUGAGGUGCGAAAGCGUGGGGAGCAAACAGG
rnacentral:rRNA from 1 species